AAGCUGGAACGGUAGAUGGCGCUUGAAUAGAAAAAGAUGGUUUCAAAAGAUGCAUUCUUGACUGCAACGAAGGGUACAGUCCAAGUGGAUGCCAUGUUAUCAGGAAAGAUAGCUAUGGAGAAUGGAAUCACAAUAUAUCAUAAUGUGUUGAGGUCGAGUGGUUCAAUAAGAAAAUAGUGGCAUGUUACACAGCGAUCGCUGCAGCUAUAGCCGCAUCUCCUUACCUUCUAGGCACUGCAGGAUUUACCACUGUUGGAAUUGCAGCCGGUUCACUUGCAGCCACAUGGAUGUCCUAUAUUGGCAUUGUUUCUAAGGGUAGUUUAUUUGCGUCGCUUCAAAGUCUUGGUAUGGCUGGUAUAAGUAAAGCGGCGAUUCUAAAGGUCUUAGGUUCUGGUGCAGCUGUUUGUAAUGGUAUCAUAGACAUAUUCUCAGACAAUCCUUGUGAAACAGAAUGAAACUUUACCGAUAUAUGGUGAUUUGGCGAAGAACAUAUGAUUUGCUGAUAAAAUCUUUAGAUUUUGUUGCUUAAAAAAAAGAGAAAGAAACAAACAAACAAACUGUCAUACACUUUUUUUAAAAUUUAUUUUGUAAUGUUCAACAGUAUAUUUAUCGAAGCGGCAAUUUAAACACGUAUCUCGAAGAUAACAAUGUACAUGAUAAUCUUAUCUUUUUAGUGGUGAUUCGAUAACAGUGUUGUAAAUAUUUUCCUAUAACAACGAUAGUUUAAUGUUUGAUAUAAGUGUAGAUUUUAAUGGAUUUUAAUGAUCAGAUUAAAGUUUUGUCUCAUC